rnacentral:lncRNA from 1 species
CAGCAGUCACUCACGUCAGUCCAAAUAGAAAUCUAGCACAAAGUUGUCCGAAGGGUGUCAGUUUGGUCUGGAUCACUGACUUUUCUCCCAUCAAAAAAAAACAUUGACUUGAAAUCCUUAGCUGCAAUGAAGCCUUUGAAAGAUAGACUGGAAAAGUGAACUUUUUCUUGAUUCAUUCUGCAGAACUUAAAAAAAAACCAACACAAUGACAUUUCUUUAAUAUCCAGGUAGCAUGUCUCAACAGCAAAGCGGACAAGGUGAUGGGGCAUGUGCCAUUGUGGACGGUGAUAAUUCUCCUGAAGGAGCAGCUGGGAAGUUGAAGAAGUGAAAAAUCAAUGAACUGUGUAACUGAUCAUCUGAAGAAGUUCUGAAAAUCCCCCAAACUGGUCAAUGUCUACCACGAG